GACGAACGCUGGCGGCGUGCUUAACACAUGCAAGUCGAACGAAGAGCGAUGGAAGCUUGCUUCUAUCAAUCUUAGUGGCGAACGGGUGAGUAACGCGUAAUCAACCUGCCCUUCAGAGGGGGACAACAGUUGGAAACGACUGCUAAUACCGCAUACGAUCUAAUCUCGGCAUCGAGGAUAGAUGAAAGGUGGCCUCUACAUGUAAGCUAUCACUGAAGGAGGGGAUUGCGUCUGAUUAGCUAGUUGGAGGGGUAACGGCCCACCAAGGCGAUGAUCAGUAGCCGGUCUGAGAGGAUGAACGGCCACAUUGGGACUGAGACACGGCCCAGACUCCUACGGGAGGCAGCAGUGGGGAAUCUUCCGCAAUGGACGAAAGUCUGACGGAGCAACGCCGCGUGAGUGAUGACGGCCUUCGGGUUGUAAAGCUCUGUUAAUCGGGACGAAAGGCCUUCUUGCGAAUAGUGAGAAGGAUUGACGGUACCGGAA
rnacentral:rRNA from 1 species